rnacentral:rRNA from 1 species
GAUGAACGCUGGCGGCGUGCCUAAUACAUGCAAGUCGAGCGAACAGACGAGGAGCUUGCUCCUCUGACGUUAGCGGCGGACGGGUGAGUAACACGUGGAUAACCUACCUAUAAGACUGGGAUAACUUCGGGAAACCGGAGCUAAUACCGGAUAUUAUAUUGAACGGCAGGGUUCAUCAGUGAAAGACGGUUUUGCUGUCCCUAAUACAGGGUUCCGCGCCGCAUUAGCUAGUUGGUAAGGUAACGGCUUACCAAGGCAACGAUGCGUAGCCGACCUGAGAGGGUGAUCGGCCACACUGGAACUGAGACACGGUCCAGACUCCUACGGGAGGCAGCAGUAGGGAAUCUUCCGCAAUGGGCGAAAGCCUGACGGAGCAACGCCGCGUGAGUGAUGAAGGUCUUCGGAUCGUAAAACUCUGUUAUUAGGGAAGAACAAAUGUGUAAGUAACUAUGCACGUCUUGACGGUACCUAAUCAGAAAGCCACGGCUAACUACGUG